CUCCAGAUGUUGCUGAACUACAACUCCCAUGAUUCUUUGAAUUACAAAGAUAGCCAGAGAAUCAUGGGAAUUGUAGUUCAGCAACAUCUGGGG
rnacentral:miRNA from 1 species